rnacentral:rRNA from 1 species
GGCGGCAGGCCUAACACAUGCAAGUCGAGCGGUAGAGAGAAGCUUGCUUCUCUUGAGAGCGGCGGACGGGUGAGUAAUGCCUAGGAAUCUGCCUGGUAGUGGGGGAUAACGUUCGGAAACGGACGCUAACACCGCAUACGUCCUACGGGAGAAAGCAGGGGACCUUCGGGCCUUGCGCUAUCAGAUGAGCCUAGGUCGGAUUAGCUAGUUGGUGAGGUAAUGGCUCACCAAGGCGACGAUCCGUAACUGGUCUGAGAGGAUGAUCAGUCACACUGGAACUGAGACACGGUCCAGACUCCUACGGGAGGCAGCAGUGGGGAAUAUUGGACAAUGGGCGAAAGCCUGAUCCAGCCAUGCCGCGUGUGUGAAGAAGGUCUUCGGAUUGUAAAGCACUUUAAGUUGGGAGGAAGGGUUGUAGAUUAAUACUCUGCGAUUUUGACGUUACCGACAGAAUAAGCACCGGCUAACUCUGCGCCAGCAGCCGCGGUAAUACAGAGGGUGCAAGCGUUAAUCGGAAUUACUGGGCGUAAAGCGCGCGUAGGUGGUUUGUUAAGUUGGAUGUGAAAUCCCCGGGCUCAACCUGGGAACUGCAUUCAAAACUGACUGACUAGAGUAUGGUAGAGGGUGGUGGAAUUUCCUGUGUAGCGGUGAAAUGCGUAGAUAUAGGAAGGAACACCAGUGGCGAAGGCGACCACCUGGACUAAUACUGACACUGAGGUGCGAAAGCGUG